GACGAACGCUGGCGGCGUGCUUAACACAUGCAAGUCGAACGGAAAGGCCCCCUUGUGGGGUACUCGAGUGGCGAACGGGUGAGUAACACGUGAGUAACCUACCCUUGACUUUGGGAUAACUUCAGGAAACUGGGGCUAAUACCGGAUAGGAGCUCCUGCUGCAUGGUGGGGGUUGGAAAGUUUCGGCGGUUGGGGAUGGACUCGCGGCUUAUCAGCUUGUUGGUGGGGUAGUGGCUCACCAAGGCUUUGACGGGUAGCCGGCCUGAGAGGGUGACCGGCCACAUUGGGACUGAGAUACGGCCCAGACUCCUACGGGAGGCAGCAGUGGGGAAUAUUGCACAAUGGGCGGAAGCCUGAUGCAGCAACGCCGCGUGCGGGAUGACGGCCUUCGGGUUGUAAACCGCUUUCGCCUGUGACGAAGCGUGAGUGACGGUAAUGGGUAAAAAAGCACCGGCUAACUACGUG
rnacentral:rRNA from 1 species